GGAUGUGAGGGUGAUCCGGCUGUGAUGUCUAUCACCCCACUGAUUGCCAGGGUUGGUUCAGCUGAUCCGGCUGGUCAGGUGGGUGUCCCCUUUCUCCCUCGUCGCUCUGUGUGCAUCCCUCCGGAAGCUGUGUGCUUGGCUGAGGAGGGUGACCAUCCCCGUUGGUGGAGGACCAUUCUUUGGUGAAGGGUACACAAGCAGUGGCACUCAAGACUAAACUCACUUUUACCUCUAUAGACUGAGUGUUUGUGUCCCUCUAAAAUGUAUAUGUUUAAAUUUAAUCCCCCAAGGUGAAGGUAUU
rnacentral:snRNA from 1 species